rfam:Ehrlichia chaffeensis str. Arkansas, complete genome.
GAUCCCGUAGCUCAGUCGGUAGAGCGUCUGACUUUUAAUCAGCAGGUCGCGCGUUCAAUUCGCGCCGGGAUCA